rnacentral:lncRNA from 1 species
GGUGUGCUGUAUACCCGUCCAUAUGAUGGAUGCAGCUGGUCUCAUAGCUGCUCGUGUAGGGACACUAGGGAUACAAUACAGGUGCUCAUUGGAGAAUGAGUUCACUGAUUGAUCCGCUUACGGAAUGCUGGAUGGUUGAUGAUGCCUUAUUGUCAGACAGCGAUUCUGUAGUCCUAGUGGUGUAUCUGGUUCUUAGACUUGAGACACCAAGGAUGUCCUGUAUGAGUGCUCCACUCUUU